CCCCUCGCCUCGAGCUCAGCGGAGGCGCCGUGCUUUGAGCACCACGCGUGCGUUCCUCACGCGCAUUUGCAAUAGGAGCAGAUUGUCUCGCCUGACCAGGUUGCCAACCGCGUGCACACACAUACUAAACAAAACACAGCAGCUGCUAGCGCCUCAGCCUGCGGCCCGGCACCAGCCCCCCAUCGGCCCAAACAGCCCGCGCGCCGUGCGCCCACGGCGGCAGAGCGCCCCAAGCAGACGCCAGAGCCCGCGGACCCCAGCCCCCGCCGAGACGCAAACCCCAACCGCGGCCACACGACGCAAAAGCCUGGACGGCAGCGAAAGCACAAAACCCAUCAUCAUUCUCCGACAGUAGCGCCAGACGCAGGGCCUGUCGCCGGCAAGCUUUCCAGGGGCGACGCCGUUUAGGCGGUCUUGGUCUGCUUCUGCACGGUGAUCCAGCGGGCGAACAGGUCGUAGUCGUCGCCGGCGUAGUCCGACUCCACCAGCAUCUGCGUGUGUGUUGUGGAAUGGAGAGCGCGGGGAGGUCAGUUUGAGGCGCAAGCCGGCGCUGCCAUGCAGCAGCCCCACGGCCCUGCAGUAGCUGCGGCCGAGAAGCCUCGGCGCCAGCCCCAGCGGCCCCAACCCAAAGCCCGUAUGCUGCCACUGACAGCACAAUACAGCAGCAGUAGCAGCAACCGAACAACUCACGUUCUUGUAGAACUUCUUGCCGAUGGCCUUGAUGGCCUUGUCCUUCUGGCCGCCGGUCUUCUCGCCCUUGGCGAUCUUGGCCAGCUUCUCGCUGCGCUUGGCGGCCUUCUUGGUGGAGCGGGUGAUCUCCACGCGGCGGGCCACCUGGGUGGUGUGGCGAGGCGGGUGUGGGCGGGGGCCCGGGAUUAGAAAUACAGCCAGGUAGCUCGGGUGCCUCUAUGUCGCUCCUGUGCCUCAAGCCUCAAGGUCAAGGAAGAAGGCUGUGUGUGCGAGAAGCUGCAGCACACCAACCCAAGCGAUACCAGCCCUACGCACGCGUGCCCGCAUCCCCAUAUCGCCCGCUUCAACCACACAUCCACAGCCCCGGAACCGCAUCCGCCCACCUUGGCGUAGGGGUUGAGCUUGAGCAUGGCGCCCAGGUUGCGCAGGGGGUUCUUCUUGAGCGGCGCGUGCUUGGGGCCGGCGCUCUUGGCGGGCCGGACAGCCGACUGGAUCUCGUCGCUGUUGAUCAGGCGGGCCAG
rnacentral:lncRNA from 1 species